rnacentral:tRNA from 1 species
GCUUCAAUAGCUCAGCUGGCAGAGCGCCACUCUUGUAAAGUGGAUGUCGUGGGUUCGAAGCCUACUUGGAGCA